GUACCGUAUUUAUAUCACUGUGCUGGUGUUCCAGCCUGCAGAGCUGGGCACACUAACACGAAGGGAUGCUGGUGGGUGGGGAGGGAAACAGUAUAGUACACUUUAUUCUGCUUAGAAGUGUCUUUUUUCUUAUGUAGGCUUGACAACCUGUAGAGGAUCUCUGCAGAAUAUAAAAGAUACCUUGUUCAUCUGGGAAAGAACCCACAGAAAUCUACAGUUCUGCUGCCAAGACAUUAUUAUAGGACUGACAGAUACACGCCAAUGUCUGCAGCGGAGACUCAAGGGACAUCUGUACAUAUGUAAAUGACAAAUAGAGACAUGUUAACAGAAAUGCAUUCAUUUUCCUUGGAAUGUGCAUUGUUUUUAUUUCGCAGGAAAAAAAAAAAAAAAGCUUGAAGCUCCAUCUUAUGUGGAAAAUGAAUCCUGUUUGUUAGCGUUCGUGGAGUCCCGGCAUUCGUUUCACUUUCACUUCUGUAAUAUACUCUGAUCCUUCGUUUUGUUUUGUUUUAUCUACAUGUAAUAUUUAGCUUACGUGUACUAGUCUAUCACCUGUGUAUUUUUAGGGUGCUACAGAAAUAAUGAAGAAAAAUAAGGGGAUUACCAAAAAAAAAAAAAGUAAAUUGUAACCAAAUUCAUAACUUUGUACAAUUUUUGAUAUUGCGAUCAGAGGGGAAUUAAAAAAGAGAAAAAAAAAAGAAGUACAAUCUGACGUAACACGCAAAAACGGCCAUUGUCUUUGUUUGUACAUUGUAUGUACAGUACAAUGCAAUCAUUUCAUACUUUAAACUGGUCAGAAAAAAUAAUUGUGAUUUUUAGUCUUGCAAAACUGUAUGUAGUUAGAUGAUGUGACAACCUAAUAUUUAUCUAAUAAAUAUGUAUUCAGAUGAAACCUGUAUAUUAGGUGUUCAUGUGGUUAUUUUGUAUUUAAAGAUCAAAUUAUUUGACUAUUGCUAGACAUUUAUAUACUCUGUUGUAACACUGAGGUAUUC
rnacentral:lncRNA from 1 species